GGGCCCGUCGUCUAGCCCGGUAGGACGCCGCCCUCACGAGGCGGAGGUCCGGGGUUCAAAUCCCCGCGGACCCACCA
rnacentral:tRNA from 1 species